GACGUAGGGCGCGAGCGUUGUCCGGAUUUAUUGGGCGUAAAGCGCGUGUAGGCGGCUUGGUAGGUCCGCUGUGAAAACUCGAGGCUCAACCUCGAGAUGUCGGCGGAAACCACUUGGCUAGAGUCCGGAAGAGGAGAGUGGAAUUCCUGGUGUAGCGGUGAAAUGCGCAGAUAUCAGGAAGAACACCUAUGGCGAAGGCAGCUCUCUGGGACGGUACUGACGCUGAGACGCGAAAGCGUGGGGAGCGAACAGG
rnacentral:rRNA from 1 species